rnacentral:lncRNA from 1 species
AGUCCUUCGCCGUCCCUCGCCGUCCUUCGCCAUCGCACGCCACCGCACCCCAUCUCUCGAAAUCUGCAGACAUCUUGAUUUUUCCCACGCUGUCUGUCAGGUCUCCGCCGCCACUCGACGCCAGGGCGCCGGGCCUUGUGGGCUGUGCUGCACCUCGGACGGCUUCGCACCAGCCAGCGCCCUCUCUCUCCUGCAGCACUCUGAUCUGCACCCCCUGAGGGGCUUCCACUGUCCGCGGGGUGAGAAUGCCCCUGGGAGUGUCACAUGACUGCCGCCCCAUGUGUGUGAGAGGCGUCCUCUGGGAGAGCAUGGAUCCUGAGGUCCCAGGAUUGUCAGCUGACCUCUGUCCUGUGUGCCCAGUGGCCCCAGGUGACGUGUCUUCAAGAAGAGGCUGAGCUGCGGUGCUUGUAAGGGUCUCAUUCUGUCACCCAGGCUGGAGUGCAGUGGUGCAAUGAUGGCUCACUGCAGCCUCGACCUGGGCUCAAGUGAUCCUCCACCUCAGCUUCCUGAGUAGCUGGGACCACAGAGUCAUGUGCUGUUCCUGGGGCUUGGAUGAUGUAGGGGAAGCAAGGUGAAAGUGGUAUCCCGUGGUUCCACGUUCUGUCCUGCUGUGGGGCUGUCCCUCACAUGCUUUCAGUGGCUGUUGCAGAGGAAGAGCCUCCGGAAAUCUGCGUGGGUCUCAGCCUUAGAUCCAAGGACAGUCCAAGGAAGUCCUAAGACCAUGGAGUUGGUGAUCUGGGAUCUGGGUUUGCUGAUAUUUCUCACCGUGAAUCUCUUGGUGGUGUUUGUGGGCACGAGAGGGGCAGAGAAUGGAGAGUGAGGCUACCACAUGAAGCGUCACCAGAGCUGCUCCCUGCUGCCUGCUCAGAGCACCCCGGAUCCACUGUUCAAUCUGCACAAGAUUCGGGGUCCAGACAUGGGAGACUUCAGCUGCCUCAGAGGACCGUGGACAGGGAAGGCCAGCCUCGCAUCCCUCUGUCCAUGCCUGGAAUGACUUUAAUAACCAAGAGUUUUAUUUUUGAAUUUGUAGCUGUCGUUCACUUUUUACCCACCCAUUCAAUAAACCUUACAGAAUUGCUCCA